rnacentral:tRNA from 1 species
ACUUAAUUAGUAUAAAGAAAGUACAUUUAAUUUCCAAUUAAAAAGUUUAAUUAAGAAUUAAGUA